CCUAACACAUGCAAGUCGAGCGAGAAAGCAGACUUCGGUCUGUGAGUAAAGCGGCAGACGGGUGAGUAACACGUGGGCAACCUGCCUCCGAUGGGGGAUGACCCAGGGAAACUUGGGCUAAUACCGCAUGACAUCCACAGCUCCUCGGAGUUGCGGAUCAAAGCUGGGGAUCUUCGGACCUGGCGCUUGGAGAGGGGCCCGCGCCUGAUUAGCUUGUUGGUGGGUAACGGCCUACCAAGGCACCGAUCAGUAGCCGGCCUGAGAGGGUGAUCGGCCACACUGGAACUGAGACACGGUCCAGACUCCUACGGGAGGCAGCAGUGAGGAAUUUUGCGCAAUGGGCGAAAGCCUGACGCAGCGACGCCGCGUGGACGAUGAAGGCCUUCGGGUCGUAAAGUCCUGUCGAGAGGGAAGAGCCGGGUAAGGGUGAUAACCCCUUGUCCCCGACGGUACCUCUGGAGGAAGCCCCGGCUAACUCCGUG
rnacentral:rRNA from 1 species